CUACAAUGGCUCUUAAUUGCCUUUCGAAUCUAAUUAAAACUUCUUCAAGACCCUCUUCUAAUUAACUCCAUAGGAGGCUCCCUUAGCGGCCAUCUCAAGCCGGGUGCCUCCUGUGCUCUGGCCCAGCGACCAAACCAGCUACUUCCUUUUCCUGCUUCCGCUCCUCUCCUUGGGCCAAUCUCCUCCUACCUAGAGGGACCAUUUUUUUCUUUUUAUCUGCCAAAGCACUCUGUUUUUUUUAACAGAAAGAGUGCUAAAUUACCUUUCCCUCCCAACUUUGAUUACUCCAACUAAGGAUCCUAAUCGGUGAAACGUGGGUGUGUUCUUUUGGAAAUGCGUGUGUUUUCACGUCCAGGCAUAAGCAACGCCUUGUUUCAGGGAGCAGCGCCCACACAUUGGUUCAGGACUCCAUGCGUUUGGUAGAAGGCUUGCGGGCUUGGGGCUAGUGUUUUGGUUUUUCUUGCAAACAGUGACGGCUCAUCUAGUGUGCAGUCCUUGGUUCCCGCCCGGAGACUUCCCCGUUCCGCCUUCUCUUCUCUUCCUCGCCCGCAAGGCGCGCUGCCCCUGGGGUUUUCAGCAACUUCCGCAGACCCUCCGCCCGCAUCCCGGCGCGGCGGGGCCGGGGAAGCCCCAGGGCUCCCCAAGCGUUCAGAAGGAAACCAUCUAGGCUACAGACCUUGGAGCGCGGCUGGGGUCCCCCGGGAGCGGAUCGCGGGUCGCGCAGGUCAUUUCCCGGCGGGAACACCACCUCGUCUGAGCUGGGCGGCUUCUCCCGGUCCCCGGCUGCAGGAUGCUGGGCCCCCCGCUGCUCCCUUCCGCGUGGCGGCUCGGGCCGCCAACCGAUCGCCUCUUGCCUCCCCCACUUGAACUCCUGGGGAGACAGUGUUUGUAAAACUUGGCCCUGGCCCAGCCCCGUCCGCCCCACUUUGCCAACAAGAAGAGGGAGGGCAGCUCUGAGCGGCCUCGGGCGAACCUCGCCCCGCCUGCACUUAAGGCGCCGGGCCCAGCCCGCGCCUUCGGGUCUCCAGCCGGGACAGGCGCGCGGACUCCGCUUUGCCAGGGUGCGACCCUCACCUGGGAUUCCAGCUCUGGUGAGGCCCGGCGUCACCGGGAACCUCUGUCCCUACCCGGCUGCGCGCCCCACGGGGGCCUUCUGGCGCUGGCACAGGGAGGGACUGGCCGGGCUACUCCCUAAGGUGGUGGAAGGGACCUGAGGGUGGUGGCAGGACUCUCUGAGUCGGAUGGGACCCCCCUGAACGGCGGAGUGGGAGAUCGGCUUCCGACACAGCCUCUCCGGGCAACUCCGGAAUGUCGCAGAGCUCCUGAUGGAUGCAAACUGUCUUUAUUUGCAAGCCUAGUGACUGGAUGUGGCCCUCAAGCUUUGGACCUCUCUACAGGUGGGAGGCCUGCAUCGAUUCAGGAUGAGCUGCUGGUGUUUUCUUGCAGUUGCCUCCUCUGCCCUCUUCUCUUGGGGCUCCUUCUUCCACGAUUGCCUCUAUCAAGCAGAAAACCGUGUCCUGGGCCCAACUUUGCAGAGACAAACGGAAAAGCUGCGCAGGCAGAAAGCUAGGAGAUUCACUGCCCCUGGACCCUCGACCCUUAGUCACCUCUGUGCCCCCAUGGCAUCUAUGCCCGGGCCAAGCGCGCCCCCGGAGAGACCUCGCCAACUCAGCGCGACUACAACUUCCCCGGGGGCGGCGGUCGCACCCUGGGCAUCUGCCCUCGUUCUCCUGACCAUCAGAUCUCCUCUCGCCAGAUAACCAGAUCUGCCUGUCGUCUACCCUCUCUCGGCCUCCCAGGAUCUGCCUGGACAAGGAGUGUGCUGGAAUGGCCCAGAAGGUCUGGGCUGUUCAACCUCCCCCUAAAGGGUUGGGGCGUCCGCCUCUGGAGCCUCAGAGAAUCUCCAUGUCUGGCGAAAACACUUAGAGAAUCCAGUGCUGUGGAACACAAAAUUCCUCGGACGGAAUGAGAUUUCUUAAGAGCAGGACGGAGGACUCCCAACACUUUGCACAAGGAUUUGCCCAAACAGUAGAGCCCAGUAAUUCACAAUGGCUGAUUUUACAAGCCCGCAAGAAACUUUUUUUUUCCCACUCUGCUGCCGAACUUUGGCCAUAUUUAGUUGUGCGUGGCUUUUUUCUUUCUUUCUUUUUGAACAACAAACCCAGAGGAAACACUGGUGGGAGGAAAAAUACAUGCUCCAAAUCAAAAUGGAUGCAGAUUCAAAUUUACUCCACCGCGAGGUUUCCUAUCACCGUCGUUCUGCACACUGAGAGUUAAUCGUAUACAAUUUAU
ensembl:lncRNA